rnacentral:rRNA from 1 species
UACGGGGGGGGCAAGCGUUGUUCGGAAUUACUGGGCGUAAAGGGUGCGUAGGCGGCUUUCUAAGUUGGAUGUGAAAACUAUGGGCUCAACCCAUAGCCUGCAUCCAAAACUGGAGAGCUUGGGUUCUGGAGGGGAAAGCGGAAUUCCUGGUGUAGCGGUGAAAUGCGUAGAUAUCAGGAGGAACACCGGUGGCGAAGGCGGCUUCUGGACAGACACCGACGCUGAGGCACGAAAGCUAGGGGAGCAAACAGG